rnacentral:rRNA from 1 species
AGUGAACGCUGGCGGUAGGCCUAACACAUGCAAGUCGAACGGCAGCACAGGAGAGCUUGCUCUCUGGGUGGCGAGUGGCGGACGGGUGAGGAAUACAUCGGAAUCUACUCUGUCGUGGGGGAUAACGUAGGGAAACUUACGCUAGUACCGCAUACGACCUACGGGUGAAAGCAGGGGAUCUUCGGACCUUGCGCGAUUGAAUGAGCCGAUGUCGGAUUAGCUAGUUGGCGGGGUAAAGGCCCACCAAGGCGACGAUCCGUAGCUGAUCUGAGAGGAUGAUCAGCCACACUGGAACUGAGACACGGUCCAGACUCCUACGGGAGGCAACAGUGGGGAAUAUUGGACAAUGGGCGCAAGCCUGAUCCAGCCAUACCGCGUGGGUGAAGAAGGCCUUCGGGUUGUAAAGCCCUUUUGUUGGGAAAGAAAUCCAGCUGGCUAAUACCCGGUUGGGAUGACGGUACCCAAAGAAUAAGCACCGGCUAACUUCGUGCCAGCCGCCGCCGUAA